rnacentral:rRNA from 1 species
GGGUCAGUAGGUUGGUCGUGCCACCGGUACGUACUGGUCUCACUGAUUCCUCCUUCCUGAAGAACCGUAAUGCCAUUAAUUUGGUGUUGCGGGGAAACAGGGCUGUUACUUUGAAAAAAUUAGAGUGUUUAAAGCAAGCUAACGCUUGAAUACAUUAGCAUGGAGUAAUGAAAUAGGACGAUCGAUCCUAUUUUGUUGGUUUCUAGGAUUGACGUA